rnacentral:rRNA from 1 species
ACGUGAUCUGAGUUCAGACCGGAGUAAUCCAGGUCAGUUUCUAUCUAUAAAGAAUCUUUUCUAGUACGAAAGGACCGAAAAGACAUGGCCUAUAUCUAAACAAGCCGUAUUUAUUAAUUUAUGUUUUAAACUUAAUAACUUAAUAUACUUUUAAAAUACUCAAUAAAAGAGUA